rnacentral:rRNA from 1 species
ACUCCUACGGGAGGCAGCAGUAGGGAAUCUUCCACAACGGGCGCAAGCCUGAUGGAGCAACACCGCGUGAGUGAAGAAGGGUUUCGGCUCGUAAAGCUCUGUUGUUAAAAGAAGAACACGUAUGAGAGUAACUGUUCAUACGUUGACGGUAUUUAACCAGAAAGUCACGGCUAACUACGUGCCAGCAGCCGCGGUAAUACGUAGGUGGCAAGCGUUAUCCGGAUUUAUUGGGGCGUAAAGAGAGUGCAGGCGGUUUUCUAAGUCUGAUGUGAAAGCCUUCGGCUUAACCGGAGAAGUGCAUCGGAAACUGGAUAACUUGAGUGCAGAAGAGGGUAGUGGAACUCCAUGUGUAGCGGUGGAAUGCGUAGAUAUAUGGAAGAACACCAGUGGCGAAGGCGGCUACCUGGUCUGCAACUGACGCUGAGACUCGAAAGCAUGGGUAGCGAACAGGAUUAGAUACCCUGGUAGGAUAGCG